rnacentral:rRNA from 1 species
CCUACGGGAGGCAGCAGUGGGGAAUAUUGCACAAUGGGGGAAACCCUGAUGCAGCGACGCCGCGUGAGUGAAGAAGUAUUUCGGUAUGUAAAGCUCUAUCAGCAGGGAAGAUAAUGACGGUACCUGACUACGACGCCCCGGCUAACUACGUGCCAGCAGCCGCGGUCAUACGUAGGGGGCAAGCGUUAUCCGGAUUUACUGGGUGUAACGGGAGCGUAGGUGGCAGGGCAAGUCAGAUGUGAAAACCCGGGGCUCAACCCCGGGAGUGCAUUUGAAACUGUCCAGCUGGAGUGCAGGAGAGGUAAGCGGAAUUCCUAGUGGAGCGGUGAAAUGCAUAGAUAUCACGCAGAACUCCGAUUGCGAAGGCAGCAUACCGGCGCCCGACUGACGCUGAGGCACGAAAGCGUGGGGAUCGAACAGGAUUAGAUACCCUUGUAGUC